rnacentral:misc_RNA from 1 species
GACAGGGGAUGCAAGCGUUACUCGGAAUUACUGGGCGUAAAGCGUCUGCAGGCGUCCUGCUAAGUCUGUCGUAAAAGCACGGAGCUCAACUCCGUGUAUGUGACGGAAACUGAUGGGAUUGAGUCAUUCAGAGGCAACUGGAAUGUCGUGUGUAGGGGUAAAAUCCGUAGAUCCACGAUGGAAUGCCAAAAGCGAAGGCAGGUUGCUGGGAAUGUACUGACGCUCAGAGACGAAAGCGUGGGGAGCAAAGGGG